CCUACGGGCGGCAGCAGUGGGGAAUAUUGGACAAUGGGCGAAAGCCUGAUCCAGCCAUGCCGCGUGUGUGAAGAAGGCCUUCGGGGUGUAAAGCACUUUCAGUGGGGAAGAAAGCCUUGGGGCUAAUACCCUCGAGGAAGGACAUCACCCACAGAAGAAGCACCGGCUAACUCCGUGCCAGCAGCCGCGGUAAUACGGAGGGUGCGAGCGUUAAUCGGAAUUACUGGGCGUAAAGCGCGCGUAGGCGGUCUGAUAAGCCGGUUGUGAAAGCCCCGGGCUCAACCUGGGAACGGCAUCCGGAACUGUCAGGCUAGAGUGCAGGAGAGGAAGGUAGAAUUCCCGGUGUAGCGGUGAAAUGCGUAGAGAUCGGGAGGAAUACCAGUGGCGAAGGCGGCCUUCUGGACUGACACUGACGCUGAGGUGCGAAAGCGUGGGUAGCAAACAGGAUUAAUACCCUUGUAGUC
rnacentral:rRNA from 1 species